CCUCCCCUCGCCCUGCCCCGCCGCCCCUCGCCGCGCCGCCACUUCUCCUCCGGGCGCAACCGCCGUGGCCUCCACGACGAGCUCGGUGAGGAGACAAGUCUAUGGGUAAUUUGCGUCUGAGGCAUUUCUAUGAUGUCACACCCUUUUCACCUUGGAGAUCUGAUGCAUCCGUAAUAAUGCUCAAUCUGUCAUUCCAGUUUACUUUCUGCGCUUCUAUUUUUUUGUCAUUUUUAUCUAGUAUAAUUCAUGUCCUUAUGGUUCUUCUAGUUUUGAGUUGGAACAUUUGGUGGUGCAAUGAUUAUAAAACAUUCCUCGUACUGAUGGGAGAUCCAUGUGAACGACUCCUAUACACCCAUAGAAUCUGAGCACCAAUCAUGCUUCUUCUGGAUUCAUUGGAUCCUUGUUUUUUUGUGUUUUUUUGUCCUGAGGUUUGUUUUACAUUUGGAUCCGUGUUUAUUUGUCUUGAGGUUUGUUUUGCAUUUGGAUUUGAGGCUAAGUGUUUAUCUGAAUUUGUUGAACUUUUAGAUUUGUCACCUUCAGAGCUAAUAUUUGAUUGACAUUAGUUGUCUUGUCCUGCUCCAAGACGCCAAACUCUUGUAAAUAAUUCAACGGUUUAAAUAUUGUGCGAUUUGUUAAAGAUUUAUUCUUGGUGUUGUUUGUUCCAAUUGUGCAGUGAUUAUAAAACAUUCCUCGUACUGAUGGGAGAUCCACAUGAAUGACUCCUAUACGCCCAUAUAAUCUGAGCACCAGUUAACCAUUUGAUCUCAGUCAAUCUGUUUUUUCUGAUUCCAUUUUGUUUUGAGGACGGUUAAGGUUGAUAUUUUGUCUUUGUCGUAGCUGGCAUCUUCUUGCCUCCCACCAUUCUUUCAUACCUCUCCAAACUGCUUUCCCCUGUUGAGAUUCUUCAGCUGAUGAUUGGCUUGCUUCUGUAAGUGUAUUUGUUUGUUUGUGGCCAGGGAUUAAACUAAAUUAAUAGACAAGCAUAUGUCCGAAUUUUCUUCAUGUGGAACGAUCUAAUCUUCUCUAUGAGGCCAAUGAUCUUGCUCCUAUCUGCAAUUAUAGUUGAUGUGUUUUAUGGUUUCAUGGUGCUGAUGAUGAUUAGUGUGAACCUUUCUCAAUGAAAUCACUAAUGAUUACAUAACCUACUGCCUUCCUUCUGAGGCAUCAUGAUUCCUGGUACCCUGUUUCUGUUUUCUUUGUCUUUUUGUUUUUAUGCCUCUUGAAUUGGUGUUUGCCCAGGUCGAGUGAUGAUUACAAGUGCAUAGUUCAUAUGAUCAAAUCAUGAUUACAUGAACAAAAAUAGUCUUUCGCUCCUAUCUGAUGACCUUUCAACCUAAACCUUUUACACGAGAAUCAAAUAGUUUAGUUCAUCUAACCUAACGCUUUUCAUUUGAAAUUCAGACAAUUUAGUUUCUAUGAUUCCUUAGAGGACGGUGAAGAUUGAUAUUUGGUCUCGUUCGUCGUAACUGGCAUUUAUUUGCCUUGCCGACCAUCCUGCUAUAUCACCACCCAUAUUCUGAGUCCUCUUAUUACAUUAUAUCUGGGCUUGACAUGUUAAUUCUUUUUUAUUAUUUGGCCAUUGAUUAAACUAAAUUAAUAGAAUGAUUUCCAUUUGGCUAAUCAAUGUGCUGAAUUUUUUAUUUGCUUGGAUGUGAGCAGUGAUGAGACAAUUCAAUAAAUAUGAUCUUCCAGGUGUGAUUGUCAAUCGCUACGUUCUUACUGAGCUCCUAUCCCGUUGCUUUUGGGAUUUACUUCUAUUGUUGUUGGCGAUCUGUUAACUGAUAUUGUAAAUUUAGUUUGAUUGCAAGAAUAAAGUUUUAUUGUGUACAAUAGAUACAUUGCUGGUUGCAAAGAUUUUCCAAACCAGCUUGAGGAUGAUGAUUUCAUAUUUGUCGCCCCAGUCUUAGGGUCUGCAUUGUUGGAUCUGUGCUGAUUGACAUACUUCUGAAUCUGACUCGGU